rnacentral:rRNA from 1 species
ACGCACGCUGGCGGCGUGCUUAACACAUGCAAGUCGAACGGAAAGGCCCUGCUUUUGUGGGGUGCUCGAGUGGCGAACGGGUGAGUAACACGUGAGUAACCUGCCCUUGACUUUGGGAUAACUUCAGGAAACUGGGGCUAAUACCGGAUAGGAGCUCCUGCUGCAUGGUGGGGGUUGGAAAGUUUCGGCGGUUGGGGAUGGACUCGCGGCUUAUCAGCUUGUUGGUGGGGUAGUGGCUUACCAAGGCUUUGACGGGUAGCCGGCCUGAGGGGGUGACCGGCCAAAUUGGGACUGGGAUACGGCCCAGACCCCUACGGGGGGGAGGAGGGGGGAAUAUUGCAAAAGGGGCGGAAGCCUGAUGCAGCAACGCCGCGUGCGGGAUGACGGCCUUCGGGUUGUAAACCGCUUUCGCCUGUGACGAAGCGUGGGUGACGGUAAUGGGUAAAGAAGCACCGGCUAACUACGU